rnacentral:rRNA from 1 species
UAGGGAAUCUUCGGCAAUGGGGGCAACCCUGACCGAGCAACGCCGCGUGAGUGAAGAAGGUUUUCGGAUCGUAAAGCUCUGUUGUAAGAGAAGAGCGUGUGUGAGAGUGGAAAGUUCACACAGUGACGGUAACUUACCAGAAAGGGACGGCUAACUACGUGCCAGCAGCCGUGGUAAUACGUAGGUCCCGAGCGUUGUCCGGAUUUAUUGGGCGUAAAGCGAGCGCAGGCGGUUUAAUAAGUCUGAAGUUAAAGGCAGUGGCUUAACCAUUGUUCGCUUUGGAAACUGUUAAACUUGAGUGCAGAAGGGGAGAGUGGAAUUCCAUGUGUAGCGGUGAAAUGCGUAGAUAUAUGGAGGAACACCGGUGGCGAAAGCGGCUCUCUGGUCUGUAACAGACGCUGAGGCUCGAAAGCGUGGGGAGCAAACAGG